rnacentral:rRNA from 1 species
UACGAAGGUCCCAAGCGUUAUCCGGAUUCACUGGGUUUAAAGGGUGCGUAGGUGGGUCUGUAAGUCAGUGGUGAAAUCUCCGUGCUUAACAUGGAAACUGCCAUUGAUACUAUAGGUCUUGAAUUUUCUGGAGGUUAGCGGAAUAUGUCAUGUAGCGGUGAAAUGCUUAGAUAUGACAUAGAACACCAAUUGCGAAGGCAGCUAGCUACAGGGAUAUUGACACUGAGGCACGAAAGCGUGGGGAUCAAACAGG